rnacentral:rRNA from 1 species
CUACGGGCCGCUGCAGUGGGGAAUCUUGCGCAAUGGGCGAAAGCCUGACGCAGCAACGCCGCGUGCGGGAAGAAGGCCCUUUGGGCUGUAAACCGCUUUCAGCAGGAACGAAAAUGACGGUACCUGCAGAAGAAGGAGCGGCCAACUAUGUGCCAGCAGCCGCGGUGAUACAUAGGCUUCGAGCGUUGUCCGGAUUUAUUGGGCGUAAAGAGUUCGUAGGCGGUUAAGUAAGUCGGGUGUGAAAAUUCUGGGCUCAACCCAGAAACGCCACCCGAUACUGCUUGACUUGAGUUCGACAGGGGAGUGGGGAAUUCCUAGUGUAGCGGUGAAAUGCGCAGAUAUUAGGAGGAACACCGGUGGCGAAGGCGCCACUCUGGGUCGACACUGACGCUGAGGAACGAAAGCAUGGGUAGCAAACAGGAUUAGAUACCCGCGUAGUC